CACUCUAAUCAUUCAUAAUAGUGAAUUGAUGAGUUCUUGGGAGAAUAGUAAAUGAGUUUAGUAAAGAGAAUUACACGAACUAUAGUAGGGUUUUGAAUUGUUGACUUGAGAUUGUUAUAAUGAUAUGGGUGAUGGAGAAUGAUGUUAAUUACAUCUAAUUGAGAUUGUAGAAUCACCUAGAAGUAACAUACUGGGAAUUGGGUGAAAAAACGCCAUUAAUGGAGAUUGUGGAGCUUUAUGCCCACUAAGUGUUUGAUAAAAUGCUUAGAUGACCAAAACAUGAAUAUUAUUGCUAAUAUAGAAUCCUUUUGGCUUGUAUUGAUAUAGAUCAAAGUUGAAAGGGGUGACAAACAUUGUAUUACGCUCAAAGACUGGAAUUAAGGUUGACGACUCAGCUAUUUAGGAGUGCACGUAUCAGCUACUGGUGAACCCCAAAUUUCUUCGGAGCGUUGUCAGCUAUCCAAUUAUUUCAAUUUUAUAGACAACUCUAUUAUUCAGUACUCUUAGAGGUUUCAUAGACACAAGUCAGACAGUCAGAUAUUGAUUAUGUUAGUCUUGUUGGCAGUUGUUCAAUCGUUUUGGUUUAGCCAUGUUGGCUACUGUCAGAUAUAUUUCAGAUUGUCUAAGUAUUUCCGCAUUAUGAUUUCAGUCAGACCUUUAGUAUAUCAUCAUGUGUUUAGUUGUUUC